UACGAAGGGGGCUAGCGUUGUUCGGAUUUACUGGGCGUAAAGCGCACGUAGGCGGAUUGUUAAGUCGGGGGUGAAAUCCUGGAGCUCAACUUCAGAAUUGCCUUCGAUACUGGCUUUCUAGAGGCUGGAAGAGGUUAGUGGAAUUCCCAGGGUAGAGGUGAAAUUCGUAGAUAUUGGGAAGAACACCAGUGGCGAAGGCGGCUAACUGGUCCAGAUCUGACGCUGAGGUGCGAAAGCGUGGGGAGCAAACAGG
rnacentral:rRNA from 1 species